rnacentral:rRNA from 1 species
CUAUACAUGCAGUCGAGCGGACAGAUGGGAGCUUGCUCCCUGAUGUUAGCGGCGGACGGGUGAGUAACACGUGGGUAACCUGCCUGUAAGACUGGGAUAACUCCGGGAAACCGGGGCUAAUACCGGAUGGUUGUUUGAACCGCAUGGUUCAAACAUAAAAGGUGGCUUNGGCUACCACUUACAGAUGGACCCGCGGCGCAUUAGCUAGUUGGUGAGGUAACGGCUCACCAAGGCNACGAUGCGUAGCCGACCUGAGAGGGUGAUCGGCCACACUGGGACUGAGACACGGCCCAGACUCCUACGGGAGGCAGCAGUAGGGAAUCUUCCGCAAUGGACGAAAGUCUGACGGAGCAACGCCGCGUGAGUGAUGAAGGUUUUCGGAUCGUAAAGCUCUGUUGUUAGGGAAGAACAAGUACCGUUCGAAUAGGGCGGUACCUUGACGGUACCUAACCAGAAAGCCACGGCUAACUACGUGCCAGCAGCCGCGGUAAUACGUAGGUGGCAAGCGUUGUCCGGAAUUAUUGGGCGUAAAGGGCUCGCAGGCGGUUUCUUAAGUCUGAUGUGAAAGCCCCCGGCUCAACCGGGGAGGGUCAUUGGAAACUGGGGAACUUGAGUGCAGAAGAGGAGAGUGGAAUUCCACGUGUAGCGGUGAAAUGCGUAGAGAUGUGGAGGAACACCAGUGGCGAAGGCGACUCUCUGGUCUGUAACUGACGCUGAGGAGCGAAAGCGUGGGGAGCGAACAGGAUUAGAUACCCUGGUAGUCCACGCCGU